UCAAGAACUCAUCUUGCAGCAUGGAGGAAUCGUGAUGAUGGCUGCAGCCCCCAGAAGAUGAACUUGGCAGGAGCUGGCUGAGAUGAUUUUUCUGCUGAUGGUGAAAUGUGCUGGCAGAGUCUAUACAGCCACUUUUAGGUGAUAUAUUACGUUCUGGUGAAAGCAUUCUUCCUAAUACAAGCUGAGAGCUUACAGCUAGGAGACAACCUCCAGGAGCAGAGAUCACACACUCUCGGGCAGAAAAACAGCUUCUGUAUUCUUCCCUGUUUACCAUUCUGGCAUCAAUUUCAAGUGCUCAGUCCCUCAAGCUCUUUCCUCUUUACAAAAGCCCGGCUACUGCAACAAAGCAUCCUGUCUGCUGUAAGUUUCAAGAGACUCUUUGAAACUACUGACCAUCUUUCUCACUGCAUUCAUGCUGCAACAACCCAAAUCCUGCAAAGCUCUGACUGAAUCAGGAAAAAGUGACCUUGGUAGCUAGUCUCCAAAGAUGGCCACCACCAAUACUUGCCUUCCUGCGAUAUAUAUCAUACUCCUUGUAUCAGGAAGAGAAGUGUAAUUCCCUCCCCAUGAAUCUAGGCUGGCCUUAGUGACUUUCUUGGCCAAUAGAAUAUAGCAGAAGGCACAUUCUGGGAUUUGUAAGACUAGGUCUCAGGAAGCCUUAUGGCCUCUGCCAGGCCUCUUGCAAUGCUUGGCGUUGGAACACUCCCUCCUACA
rnacentral:sRNA from 1 species